rnacentral:tRNA from 1 species
UCCGGCGUAGCUCAGCGGUAGAGCAUUCGACUGUUAAUCGAAUGGCCACUGGUUCGAAUCCAGUCGCCGGAGCCA